AAUGGCUCCUCUUCUAGGUAUGGAGUCUGAGCUCUCCUGCUCCAAUCUUUACGUUGGAUGGCCAUUCGAAGGGUGUGAACUGCGUUGAUUACUUCACUGGCAACGAUGAAACAAAGCUUUUAACCGGUUCUGAUGAUUUUACUGCUAAGGUGUGGGAUUAUCAAAGCAAAAGUUGCCUGCAAACCCUAGAAGGCCACCAACACAAUGUUACAUUGAUAUGUGCUCAUCCAGAGCUUCCCAUAAUUAUUACUGGUUCAGAGGCCGGAACUAUUCGCAUAUGGGAUGCCACCACCUAUAGGCUCGAGAACACAUUGAACUAUGAUCUCGGAAGAGUUUGGGUAGUUGGAUACAAAAAAGGAUCAGAUCGGGUUGUAUUUGGUUGUGACAAAGGAACAAUUAUGGUCAGUCUGAAGAUCAGUACUUAGAAGUGAAACAACUAUUUGGGGAUGAAAAGUACGUACUUGGAGGAAUCAAGUGAUCAUCAUCCGCUAGCUGCUGCUGCGUACUGCUCUACUCUUGGUCGACCCUGUACUCUCUCUCUCUCUCUCUCUCUCUCUCUCUAUAUAUAUAUAUAUAUAUUUGGAGUACUACUGUUUUCUUAUUAUGAAUAAAUUUGUCAAUGAAUGAAGCGUUUGAUCACCUACCCCUGCGUCUACUCCUGCUGUUUUGAUUGUGUGAUCACUAGUUAUUAAUUAAGGAUAGAUAUUAUAUAUGUUAUAGCUACGUACGUACCUCCAAGGAUAUUGUACUCUUUCUCCUGUUAAUUAUAUAUGCAUGUGGUCAUGUGUUUCUUUGAAUUCCAAUGGCUUCUCAUCUCUAUGUCCUAGCAGUGGAAUGUAGUUAUACCUAUGUUUAAAUUAAUAAAUUCAGUCUGAAAUAUUGCAAUACAA